rnacentral:rRNA from 1 species
GAUGAACGCUGGCGGCGUGCCUAAUACAUGCAAGUCGAGCGAACAGACGAGGAGCUUGCUCCUCUGACGUUAGCGGCGGACGGGUGAGUAACACGUGGAUAACCUACCUAUAAGACUGGGAUAACUUCGGGAAACCGGAGCUAAUACCGGAUAAUAUAUUGAACCGCAUGGUUCAAUAGUGAAAGACGGUUUUGCUGUCACUUAUCGAUGGAUCCGCGCCGCAUUAGCUAGUUGGUAAGGUAACGGCGUACCCAGGCAACGAUGCGUAGCCGACCGGAGAGGGUGAGCGGCCACACUGGAACUGAGACACGGUCCAGACGCCUACGGGAGGCAGCAGUAGGGAAUCUUGCGCAAUGGGCGAAAGCCUGACGGAGCAACGCCGAGUGAGUGAUGAAGGUCUUCGGAUCGUAAAACUCUGUUAUUAGGGAAGAACAAAUGUGUAAGUAACUAUGCACGUCUUGACGGUACCUAAAGAGAAAGCCACGGCUAACUACGUG